UUAAGCGACUAAGCGUACACGGUGGAUGCCCUGGCAGUCAGAGGCGAUGAAGGACGUGCUAAUCUGCGAUAAGCGUCGGUAAGGUGAUAUGAACCGUUAUAACCGGCGAUUUCCGAAUGGGGAAACCCAGUGUGUUUCGACACACUAUCAUUAACUGAAUCCAUAGGUUAAUGAGGCGAACCGGGGGAACUGAAACAUCUAAGUACCCCGAGGAAAAGAAAUCAACCGAGAUUCCCCCAGUAGCGGCGAGCGAACGGGGAGCAGCCCAGAGCCUGAAUCAGUGUGUGUGUUAGUGGAAGCGUCUGGAAAGGCGUGCGAUACAGGGUGACAGCCCCGUACACAAAAAUGCACAUGCUGUGAGCUCGAUGAGUAGGGCGGGACACGUGGUAUCCUGUCUGAAUAUGGGGGGACCAUCCUCCAAGGCUAAAUACUCCUGACUGACCGAUAGUGAACCAGUACCGUGAGGGAAAGGCGAAAAGAACCCCGGCGAGGGGAGUGAAAAAGAACCUGAAACCGUGUACGUACAAGCAGUGGGAGCACGCUUAGGCGUGUGACUGCGUACCUUUUGUAUAAUGGGUCAGCGACUUAUAUUCUGUAGCAAGGUUAACCGAAUAGGGGAGCCGAAGGGAAACCGAGUCUUAACUGGGCGUUAAGUUGCAGGGUAUAGACCCGAAACCCGGUGAUCUAGCCAUGGGCAGGUUGAAGGUUGGGUAACACUAACUGGAGGACCGAACCGACUAAUGUUGAAAAAUUAGCGGAUGACUUGUGGCUGGGGGUGAAAGGCCAAUCAAACCGGGAGAUAGCUGGUUCUCCCCGAAAGCUAUUUAGGUAGCGCCUCGUGAAUUCAUCUCCGGGGGUAGAGCACUGUUUCGGCAAGGGGGUCAUCCCGACUUACCAACCCGAUGCAAACUGCGAAUACCGGAGAAUGUUAUCACGGGAGACACACGGCGGGUGCUAACGUCCGUCGUGAAGAGGGAAACAACCCAGACCGCCAGCUAAGGUCCCAAAGUCAUGGUUAAGUGGGAAACGAUGUGGGAAGGCCCAGACAGCCAGGAUGUUGGCUUAGAAGCAGCCAUCAUUUAAAGAAAGCGUAAUAGCUCACUGGUCGAGUCGGCCUGCGCGGAAGAUGUAACGGGGCUAAACCAUGCACCGAAGCUGCGGCAGCGACACUAUGUGUUGUUGGGUAGGGGAGCGUUCUGUAAGCCUGUGAAGGUGUGCUGUGAGGCAUGCUGGAGGUAUCAGAAGUGCGAAUGCUGACAUAAGUAACGAUAAAGCGGGUGAAAAGCCCGCUCGCCGGAAGACCAAGGGUUCCUGUCCAACGUUAAUCGGGGCAGGGUGAGUCGACCCCUAAGGCGAGGCCGAAAGGCGUAGUCGAUGGGAAACAGGUUAAUAUUCCUGUACUUGGUGUUACUGCGAAGGGGGGACGGAGAAGGCUAUGUUGGCCGGGCGACGGUUGUCCCGGUUUAAGCGUGUAGGCUGGUUUUCCAGGCAAAUCCGGAAAAUCAAGGCUGAGGCGUGAUGACGAGGCACUACGGUGCUGAAGCAACAAAUGCCCUGCUUCCAGGAAAAGCCUCUAAGCAUCAGGUAACAUCAAAUCGUACCCCAAACCGACACAGGUGGUCAGGUAGAGAAUACCAAGGCGCUUGAGAGAACUCGGGUGAAGGAACUAGGCAAAAUGGUGCCGUAACUUCGGGAGAAGGCACGCUGAUAUGUAGGUGAAGCGACUUGCUCGUGGAGCUGAAAUCAGUCGAAGAUACCAGCUGGCUGCAACUGUUUAUUAAAAACACAGCACUGUGCAAACACGAAAGUGGACGUAUACGGUGUGACGCCUGCCCGGUGCCGGAAGGUUAAUUGAUGGGGUUAGCCGCAAGGCGAAGCUCUUGAUCGAAGCCCCGGUAAACGGCGGCCGUAACUAUAACGGUCCUAAGGUAGCGAAAUUCCUUGUCGGGUAAGUUCCGACCUGCACGAAUGGCGUAAUGAUGGCCAGGCUGUCUCCACCCGAGACUCAGUGAAAUUGAACUCGCUGUGAAGAUGCAGUGUACCCGCGGCAAGACGGAAAGACCCCGUGAACCUUUACUAUAGCUUGACACUGAACAUUGAGCCUUGAUGUGUAGGAUAGGUGGGAGGCUUUGAAGUGUGGACGCCAGUCUGCAUGGAGCCGACCUUGAAAUACCACCCUUUAAUGUUUGAUGUUCUAACGUUGACCCGUAAUCCGGGUUGCGGACAGUGUCUGGUGGGUAGUUUGACUGGGGCGGUCUCCUCCUAAAGAGUAACGGAGGAGCACGAAGGUUGGCUAAUCCUGGUCGGACAUCAGGAGGUUAGUGCAAUGGCAUAAGCCAGCUUGACUGCGAGCGUGACGGCGCGAGCAGGUGCGAAAGCAGGUCAUAGUGAUCCGGUGGUUCUGAAUGGAAGGGCCAUCGCUCAACGGAUAAAAGGUACUCCGGGGAUAACAGGCUGAUACCGCCCAAGAGUUCAUAUCGACGGCGGUGUUUGGCACCUCGAUGUCGGCUCAUCACAUCCUGGGGCUGAAGUAGGUCCCAAGGGUAUGGCUGUUCGCCAUUUAAAGUGGUACGCGAGCUGGGUUUAGAACGUCGUGAGACAGUUCGGUCCCUAUCUGCCGUGGGCGCUGGAGAACUGAGGGGGGCUGCUCCUAGUACGAGAGGACCGGAGUGGACGCAUCACUGGUGUUCGGGUUGUCAUGCCAAUGGCACUGCCCGGUAGCUAAAUGCGGAAGAGAUAAGUGCUGAAAGCAUCUAAGCACGAAACUUGCCCCGAGAUGAGUUCUCCCUGACUCCUUGAGAGUCCUGAAGGAACGUUGAAGACGACGACGUUGAUAGGCCGGGUGUGUAAGCGCAGCGAUGCGUUGAGCUAACCGGUACUAAUGAACCGUGAGGCUUAACCUU
rnacentral:rRNA from 5 species